GGACGUUUUCCACUUUCCACAAUUUCUUCACAAGUUUUACACUUCUGUACGAAACGUCCUAGUGUAAGUAGUAAAAAGUAAUGGAAGUAACAUUUGGAUUUAACAAGCAAUUUAAGCUUUAAUUAGUCAUUGUCUUAUGAUCAACAAACACCACAGCCAUUUCUUAAAAGUCAAACAGUCAUUAUGCAAGCCCUGGAUGUAGAAUUAGAAUGUUGUGGCUUCUUGGUCAGCUGAUUUGUGUUGGCUAUUCUUCGGGUGUUAACAGGUUGUAUUUGAAUUAAAACAAAACUUUAGGUGUCACAUAAUUUAUUUAUAUGGGGCCAUUACUCUGUUCUUAGCAUGUAAAAUAAUUAAUAAUCUUUUUUUUUUUACUUUAGGCAAUUCACAAAUUGAUGACCAAUGUGUCCACCUGGGUCAUAUUGGUAGAAGAGUGAUGGCACAUCCUAAAACAAUAAACACCAACAUGAUCUGACGAUCUGCUAUGAGACUUUCGGUUUGAAUUCAUAAAGAGUCCCAAGCAAAUACCAAAGUAUUGUCACAUUGAUUAAUGAUUUUGGCAAAUUGGGGGAGAUUUUUGGUUAAGGCCAGAUGCCCUAAAAAUUAUGAUGGUUGUAAACACACGGGAAUAUAUUCCAUAAUUAAUUGUCGGAUAUCACAUUCCGUGAUCGACUUUUGCAAACUAACCACAAAAGAUGUCAUGUAACUACAGUAUAUUUCCCUGUGUCAGAAAUAGAAGACGGAAAGCGAUACUUCGUUUGUGAAGAAAGCCAUUCGCACUUCAUCGCAUUUCAUCGCAUCUGCUCCGUCCCGAAGAUACAAUAUUUAAAUUUGUAUAAAUUAAAGUGCAUAUCUGGGCUCCCUUCUUUUCUGUGGCCCCGUUUCCCCUUGACUCGUAAUAAGCCCGUAGGGGGUCAUGCCCCUACUGUGAUCAGCAGUAAAGGUU